GUAGGUGGCAAGCGUUGUCCGGAAUUAUUGGGCGUAAAGCGCGCGCAGGCGGUCCUUUAAGUCUGGUGUGAAAGCCCACGGCUCAACCGUGGAGGGUCAUUGGAAACUGGGGGACUUGAGUACAGAAGAGGAAAGCGGAAUUCCAAGUGUAGCGGUGAAAUGCGUAGAGAUUUGGAGAAACACCAGUGGCGAAGGCGGCUUUCUGGUCUGUAACUGACGCUGAGGCGCGAAAGCGUGGGGAGCAAACAGGAUUAGAUACCCUGGUAGUCCACGCCGUAAACGAUGAGUGCUAAGUGUUAGGGGUUUCCCGCCCCCUUAGUGCUGCAGCUAACGCAUUAAGCACUCCGCCUGGGGGAGUACGGCCGCAAGGCUG
rnacentral:rRNA from 1 species